rnacentral:misc_RNA from 1 species
UGGAAGUAAAGUCGUAACAAGGUUUCCGUAGGUGAACCUGCGGAAGGAUCAUUAAGAAAUGGUACUCUAUUUGUGAGUGCAUUAAUAAUCCAUCCUACCUUUGUGAAUUUGUUGUAUGAAAUAAUUUUUUUUUAAAAAAAAUUAUGAAUGUCCUUACCUGUUGAAAAGUUUGGUCGUAAGACUUGGAUUUUUCACAGGGGAUAGUCAAUAAUUUUUUAAAAAGACCUUUUUCUAAAUAAAACUUUUGUAUUCAUUUGACUAAAAUUAUUUUUAUAAUAUAAAAACAACUUUUGACAAUGGAUCUCUUGGUUCUCGCAACGAUGAAGAACGCAGCAAAAUGCGACAAGUAGUGUGAAUUGCAGAAUACGUGAAUCAUCGAAUCUUCGAACGCAUAUUGCACUUUUUUAGUUUACUAAAAAAGUAUGUCUGUUGAGUAUCAGUAAAAUAUUCUCAUAAAAACUAUUGUUUUUAUGGUUAUGAGUGUUUACAACGAUAACAAGUUGUUUCACUUUAAAUUUUUUUAAAAUUUGAAUUUUUCUAAUUUUAAAUUAAAAUUGGAUAAAAUUUUCCUGUAAAAAGGAAUAAUUAAACGAUUUUAAAUUGAAUUUAGAAAAUCCAAAAUAAAGAAGAUUUAUUUACAAAAUAACUUGAUCUCAAAUCAGAUAAGAGUACCCGCUGAACUUAAGCAUAUCAAUAAGCGGAGGAAAAGAAACUAACAAGGAUUCCUUAGUAACGGCGAGUGAAGCGGGAAGAGCUCAAAUUUGAAAUCUUCAAGGUUUUACCUUGACGAAUUGUAGUUAAAGAAGUGUUUUCUGUUGAAGUUUCGGUAAAAGUCUUUGGAAUAGGACAUCAUAGAGGGUGAGAAUCCGUAUUUGACCGUUAUUUUCAGCUGUGUGAUACACUUUCAAAGAGUCGGAUUGUUUGGAAUGCAGUCCAAAAUGGUGGUAAAUUUCAUCUAAAGCUAAAUAUUGGCGAGAGACCGAUAGCGGACAAGUACCGUGAGGGAAGAUGAAAAGAACUUUGAAAAGAGAGUUAAACAGUACGUGAAAUUGUCAAAAGGGAAGCGUUUGACACCAGUGUUGUUUUCUCGAAAAUCAAUUAAAAAUGGCUUGAUUUGUGUUGUAUUGACCUUAAAAGCUUUCUGCACUUUUUUCAUGUCUUUUUAAUGCACUUUUCGUUUAACAAGUCAACAUCAGUUUCUUUUGUUGUAAAAAGGUCAUUGGAAGGUGGCUUUCUUUUCGGAGAAAGUGUUUAUGGCCUUUGACUCCUGCAAUCGGAGAGACUGAGGUCUGCAGCGUAGAUCCUUCUUUGGAUUAGAUUCAUUUGUGCUAAGUUAUAGCUUUUUAUAGACAACUUGUUGACUAUAUUUAGUCUUGUAGCUUACUCGCUUAUGCAAUUUACCUACGCUUAGGAUGUUGAA